CAGGGGUGUAAUCUAUAUCUAUAUGUAAAUCCUGUAAUCAUUAUAACAAACAAACGGAAAACUACAGUUUCUAUUGGACAUAUUCAGGUGACGUCGGUUGAUCUCGUAGAUGAUCUCCAGGUGUCUGGGCAGAAGGUUAUGGAGCAGGUCGGUGGGCCAGCGCUCCAGGGCCUCAGGCAGGACGGUGUGGUUGGUGUAGGCACAGCAGGGGGACCAGCACUAUACCUUCUCCCAUGUCUGGUGCUCCGUGUCCAACAAGAUCCUCAUCAGCUCAGGGAUGGCCAUGGCAGGGUAGGGUGGAAAGGUCAACGCGCACAACCUCAGUGGAGCCGAACUUGGAGGACUUGAAGCGACGGACGAUGUCCUGCAGAGUGGCUGC